CUAUCAAAUGAGGACUCAGAUGUCAUGGCCUUUGACAUUUCCAGGUCUGACAUUCUUUGAUUCUGUCUAGAACAUCAGAUUCUGUUCUGCAGCCACUUAACCGAGAAUGUCAGAAGAUCCUCAAGUUUCUUGCCUUUGAUUUGCCUACCCCUUCUCAGGGUUUCCAGGGUGAUAGUGGGCAGGAGAAACAGCACCUCUUUCCACACAGUAGUCAGAGGUCUCACUGUGAUCACCCAGCCCCCGCCCCCGGCCCCCCGCCCCCCAACCUCCCCAGUCCUUCCCUCUGCCAAUGAUCUUAGGCUUCAGCAAAUGAAAUGCACAGAUAUGAAAGGAAAUCCCUCGUGUGGAGGGCUCUCACUUUAGAGAGGAGGAAAGGGAGUCACCGGAGAGUGAGACCCAGUCAGUUCCUGAGAUGGGCCAGGCCUCCAGCCCUGACACCCCGACACCCCAGUUGAAUGCCUGUUCCAUGGCACCACCAUGCUGGAUAUUUCUUGUUUAAGCUCUCACUUGGAUAUGAUACCUUCUGUUCAUGACUCUCAGAAUCUAGAGGAUUACUUCCUGACUUAAAUCCAGUGACCAUCUACUCUGCAUCCCAAUCCUAUAUCCAUUCUAACCCCUUCCACCUUAUCUAUUCCCCAUAAUUAGCUUCAUAAUCAUAAAUGUUUACAAGAUAUUGUCUUGUGGAGGAGGGUUAAGAGAAAAAAAAAGAUGUUAGAUAAAGAAAGAAAAAAAUGAAUGAAUCUUAACACUAAAUUUCUGACUUGAAUACCUAUUUGUGUACAAAAUUAGAAAGCAAGUAAAUGAAAGUAAAAAUAAAAUCUCUCAUUACCCCAUCACUCAGAAAUAUCACAGUGAGCAUGGUGGUGAGUUUCCUUUCAGUGUUUUUUCUCCAUGUACACAGAUAUAUUUGCUAUUCAUACCUUUUAAUUUUCAUUGGUAUUUCAGAGAAGUUUUUAGGACUUAUAAUCACAAUACACCCUUGGUCUUCUAUCAGUGGUAUAAGAUCUAAUUCCUAUAAUUCCAUAUAGCUUGUGAUAUUUCCCUUUCUUAGCUGAACCCCAAUUGAUACAGAACAUGUUGCUGAAACUCUAAAACAUGUCAGGUCUAGAUUUACCUAUUGGCUUCCUCACCUGGACAUGUUCCAGAAAAGAACUUCGAAGCAUUGGACAGUAUGUUUCAAAACAGCUCCAGGGUUUUUAAAAAGUCAGCCAUUUAUCAAUUACAUUUUAUGCUUAUUGAACAGCUACUAUACAUGUCAGACUUUGUGCUAGGUGAUUUACAUGUAUUCUAUUACUUAAUCCAAGUUCCCUGGGGAUAAGUAUGUCAUUGUUUCCAUUUCGUAGAUGAGGAAACUGGGGCUUACGGAAGUUCCAUGACCCAAAGUCACAAAGCUAAUAAGUGGCAGGGUCAUGAAUCAAACCCAGGCAAUUUGGUUGCAGAGUCCACAUUCUGCACUCUAACUUUAGUCAUUUACUAACACACCAAGCUGGAGGGGCAUCACCCAUGGGUAGGGGGGCAGGGUUCAGGACAUUUACUUGUACUAUGGGGAUGCAUAACCUUGUAAGACAGAGCUGCUCAGGAAGGCAGCGGGUAUGCAGGGGUGAACACUGGACUCCAAGGCAAAUAGGCAUGGCCUCCAAUCCUGCUCUUCCAGCUUACCAGCCAUGUGACCCUGGACCCAUCACCUUCCUGUCUGAACAUCACUGUUCUCACCUGUAAAAGGGGAAUAAUAAGAUCUGUCUUAGAGGAUUAAGGAUGACAACAUGUGAAAACACCUGGCAUGUCUCCAGGCACAUAGUAAAUGCUCAUAGAGUUUAGCUGAAUCUGAAUCUAAGCAGCAAGUUUCAAGUUGAGACCUGGUUUUAGGUCUUGGAUCUAACACCCUGGGUCUGUGAUUUUGAACAGGGUACUGUGGUCUUCCUAGGACCAAACGCCUCAUCUUUCUAGGAGGUGGUUAGACUAGAUGAUUCCUAUGUUCCUGGGCCUCCAGUUGGUCUUAAGAGGAAGGAAUAAGGCAGAUGAUGUCUUGCCUUCUCAGUUCAAUCUGAAACAAGGCCAGAGUCUCAGAGAAUAGCAUCUUUUUUCUUAGCUCCUCUGCCCUGCAGAUGUUCUUGAGUAGCACCAAGCCCUUGGAGCUUCCUGAAAUGUCUGAGAACUGAUGGAAAUCGCAAAGAUUUCUUAGAAGGAAGGGGUGAGGUCUUUGAUUGCUAGGACACUGUUGCUUUUAUUAGCUCUUCUAGGAAAGGAGGGGUCACAGCUUUAUAGGUUUCCCAAUGAUGACAGAAAAUAACUCUCUGACUUGCUCCAAAGAAUACAACUAGGAAAUCAUAGAGCCAGAUAAUUUCUUGGGUCCCUUAUCCUCGUUAUUUUGUGAUUCAGCUAUAAGACAAGAAGCUGUUUUACAUGAAGGGCUCCUAAGUGCCCAGCACUGUGGGGGAUGAAAUGACAGGAUUCUUGCUCUAAAGAUGCCUGGAGUCCACCUCCACCCAGGAAACAUAAACCAAGAGUCAAAGAGGAUAGACAAUUUUUUUGGUCUUUUUGGGGCGGGGGGUAGGGGGCGGCACUGUGUCAUGUGGAGGUUCUCGGGCUAGGGGUCAAAUGGGAGCUGCAGCUGCCAUCCUAUACCACAGCCACAGCCACAGCAACAUGGGAUCCAAGCCGCAUCUGUGACCUACACCACAGCUCAUGGCAACACUGGAUCCUUAACCCACUGAGCGAGGCCAGGGAUCGUACCUGCAUCCUCAUGGAUACUAGUCAGAUUUGUUUCCACUGAGCCAUGAUGGAAACUCCUAAACAAUUUUGUUAGGAUUUCACAUAAAGGAUAUAAAGGCUUUCCCCUAGCUCUCUGGCAACUCCUCACUACUCCUGCCUGGUGAACUUCUCCCAAACCUCUGACCGGGAAGUGUCCCAAGACUCAGCCAUUGGACCUCUUCUUGUUUGCAUCCACUUCCCUGGGGAUCUUAGUCAGUUUCACAAUUUCAACAAAAUCUGCACAGUGACAACCCCUAAAUUUCAAUCUCCAGCUUCGAUUUCUCUCUGGAACUGCAGACUCUGAAAUCUAGCUGCCUGUUCAGUCUUUGUGCUUUUCCUGUGUUUUUGGCUUCUCUGACUGAACACCUCCCAGUCAGAGUUCCUGGUGUGCCCCUAACCCCUGCAGAUCUGCUCCACCUGCAGCCUUUCCUUUUCUGGAAAUAACAAUUCCACUUGUUACAGUGGCUCAGGCCAAAGAACUUGGAGCUGUUCUCGACUCCUGUUUCUCCACGACCCACAUCCAAACUACUAGUAACACUUUUAGCUCUGCCUUAAAAGUGUGCACAGAAUUCAAACACUGCUGCUCACCAUUGCCUAGUCCUAGCCACCAUUGUCUGUCUCCAAGAUUAUUAUAAUGCCUCCUAAACAGUGUCUAUACUCCCACCUUGCCCAUCUCAACAGAGCAGCCAGGGGCAUUCUGUGAAAAUCAACUUUAGAUUUUGUCUGAACCCUCAGGGGCUUUCCAUCUCAUCCAAAGUCAUAGAAAGUCCUUCCAACGCUCAAUGGGGUGUGUACAAUGUAACCCCCCUUUCCUCUCUGUCCUCCUCUCCCGCUGUCCUGGCCUCCUUCACUUUGCCAUAGCGACACCAGCCUCCGUGCUGUUCCUCGAACACACCAGGUGGGUUCUGGCUCACAGCCGUGGUGCUCACACCCUCUGCCUGGCACUCUCAACCAGAGAUCCAAACAGUUCACUCCCUCACCUCCUCUCAGCUUCUAGUGUAACCUGCUGAGGGACCUCUACACUACUCGCAGCCUGUCUCACUUUCCAUCCUCCCCUCUCACACAUGCCCUGUCCCUCUUCCCCACUUCUUUUGUUUCCCACUGUUAAGCAGUUAUUCCUGUAAAAACUACUGUACAUAUUUACUAGGGAGCUUAUUGUCUGCUUCUCCCCAACUAGGAGAAAAUUCUCAUAGACAGUGGAGCACUGUGUCUGGUGUUUCAGAAAAUUUUAGGUGAAAAAAAAAUGGGUGGGGCAGUUGGGACCAAAGGCUUCAUGGGGAGCCUGGGUUUAAGUAGUGGUCUGAACCAUUGGGAGGAGCUGAGUGACCCGAGGCUGAGAAAGGAGCGCCAGGGAGAGAGAAGGACACUGGGCCACGGCCGGGGGUGGGGGGGAGGACAUGAGUGUAGGGAGACUAACAGAUUUGUUAUCCAUCAGCCUUUACCUUCCCGGCUUUAUUUCUUUUAGAAUACCUUAUUGGCUGUCUUUUAGCAUGUAGCAAAAAUCUCAUGGCUACUUGGUAUAAUAGGAAGCCCAUGGGUGGGAUUGAGAGUCCUAGACCUGACUCUAGAAGUGUGACCCUGGACCAGCCACUUACCCUCUCUAAUCCUUUGCUUGCUCAUCUGUCAAAGAAGGAUAACAUCACCGGCUUGCGUUCUCCUGGGGUGGUCGUGAGGAUCCAGGGAGGUGACAGAUGGGAAAGUACUUUACCUCUGAAAGCAGGACGAUUGUAGUGGGGAUUAGCGAAAUGCUUGGGUAUCUUUGAAAUCUUCACUCAGACUCAUGUAUAGAUUAUCUACUUCAGUUGCAAGAAAAGGGGGGAUGGGAGUUCUAAAUGGUGACUAAUUCGUAAAUCCUUCAUCAGGGCUUUUGAAAGAGGAGGGACACAGAAGGUGGGAUUGGAAGAUGUACCUUCCUGAGGAAGUGGCUAAUAUCCAGAUGAAGUGCUAUUUAUCCCCUGUGCUAACAAUUCAAUUCAAAUGUAAACAACAAUUCCAUUUGGUACCUUUGCUCAGGCCAAAGAACUUGGAGUUGUGCUUGACCCAUGCUAUUCCCUGUCUAUCAGGUCCUGGGAAUUACUUCUCUUUUCACCCUUACCUACAUGUGUGAGUUGGGUAUUUUUCCUCCCUUCUUUAGAAAUCAGAAAACCAAAGUUCAGAGAAGUUAAGUAAUUUGCUCAGGGUCACACAGGUAUUGACAUCAGAGCCGGAAGAAACCAGCUUUGUUGAAAGAGUCAGUGCUCUUUCCACAGGCUGCCUUUUCUAGAGACCUUGAUGCAACUGAUUCAGCAGCCAACAGUGUUAAAUUAACAUCGGUCACCUGAAUUUGAGCAAGUGAAUAAUAUUCCAGUCUAAUGUAAGGGGUCCAGGCAGGUAACAGACUCUGAGCUGUUAAAGGUUUUUCCAAAAGUGAAAAGGAAGGUCCAUGUGCCACCUGUGAAUCUAAACCCUUGUCUAGGCCACUACCUUGUAUUAUGAAUGUUUUCUCAUAGCAGUGAGUAGUAACAUUUUAGAAAUGGGGAUUUUUGAGCUAAAUUUUCAGCAAAGCAUGAGAAUAAUGUAGCUCACAGCAAUGCCCUCUGGUCUUUCAGAGCAUCAGACAUUUUUUUUAAAAUCAGUCGUGUAAGAAAUGGCAUGACUUUUUGGAUGAUUAGCAAUCUAGUCUAGAUUUUAGCUGGUGACACUUUCUGCAGCAACUUGCCUGUUACCUGCCACAUAAUAGGCUUAAUCACUGUCCACUGAAUAUAAGCAGGUAUCUUCAUGUACAUGAAUACCAUGUAUAAUAAGGGGUGUGAUUUUGGUAAUUAUGCAUGUAAAUCUAUUUGGAUAGAUAAUGAAUAUGCAGAUGGAUAGAUACUGGGGCCAUGGGUCAGAGAAAUGCCAAAAAGAAAAGAAAAAAGGAGGAGUUCCCAUCAUAGUUCAGUGGUUGACGAACCGGACUAGUAUCCAUGAGGAUGUGGGUUCAAUCCCUGGCCUUGCGCAGUGGGUUAAGGAUCCAUCAUUGCCAUAAGCUGCAGUGUAGGUCAUAGAUGCGGCUUGGAACCCGCAUUACUGUGGCUGUGGCAUACGCUGGUGGCCGCAGCUCCCAUUCGACCCCUAGCCUGCAUGCCUCAGGUGCA
rnacentral:lncRNA from 1 species